UGUCCCUUUAGGUUCUGGUAACUACAGCCUGAGGGUUUUGUUGAUUUCGGAACUGCUUAAGGAUUUUCUUGGAGUUAUCUAAGAAAGUGGCCCCUUUUCUUCUUUUUUGUUUUGUUUUGUUUUGUUUUAUGGAAAUAUUGACCCAUCAGGAUUUACUUAAAUCCUCCUUGGUUAUGGGCCUCCAAAGACAAAGCCAUAUCCAUGGCAACCACAGGCCACACAGCAGAAGAAAGAACACAUCCAGACCCAGCACAUAAUAGCUCUGUUUACUGAUGACUAAGAUCUUGAAAGCACUACUGUACAUUCCGACUCCCAGCUCAGGGCAGGACUCCAGCCUGUCCUCAUCUUCCAAGUCCAGCAUCUAUAAUUAGAGCCACAGAAAGGGAGAGAAGCCCUUUUCCCAGCCCUGGCCUCCUCCUCCCUGGGGGUGAGGGAUAUGCCACUUCUAUCAAGGCUCUGGAUGGUCCUGCAAGAAACAGUAGGCCAAAAUGAGAGGGAGGCUGGAUAGGGAUGAGUUAUGUGGGGAAGUGCUGGAGCCCUUACAAUUCUAGGGGUUUCUCUGCCUAAUUCUAGCUGUGGGUGGCUGCCUUCUGAGGCCGGCCCUGCAGGAACAGCCUCACCCUCAAGCCCAUGCUCCAGAGACAGGCCUUCAGACCCCGAGAGGCACAGGUAGCAAGUUCAAGUUCACAUUCACAUGUUUUGUGACUUGCCCUUUGACCCCUUCAUGCACCAGCAUACCUCAUUUCAUCACUCUUUUCCAUGUGCCAAUAAAAGCCUGGUAAACACAUAAGCCCGAGUAGAGGGCUGUGCACACCAAGUGCCCACCAGCUUCCUGACACACGGACGCAAAACAAGAACUGAUAUAACUCUCCUCAAACUGCUAAACAAGAACGAAGAAGUCUCAGGCUUGGGAAGAGCUCUCAGGCAGCCCAGCCAUUCCUCUGAAAAAUGAGUUCCUCAGAGAAAACACUUGGAAUGGAAAGAACUCAAGUCCAGAGGGCUUUUAUUUAAAUCCCAAACACCAGAGCCCUCCACGGGGCUUAUGGAUCAAGCAGAAGCUGGAGAAUGAAUCUGCGACACGAACUUCAAAAAGAAUCUUGCAUUGGCUGCACGGUUGAUCCCUCAGAACAUCUCCAAGGGUUAUGGAACUUGUUUCACCCAACUCAACUUUGGGUGAAACAAGGAAGCAAUUGGUGGUGAGGAAAGGAACAGAGAACUGCGAUGCCAGGGACUCGCAUCUACACCUGGUUACUUAAAACUAAAGAACCAACAGAAUACAGCAGCUGCUUCGUCUAUGUGCUGAUGGAGCAGCGGAAGCAUAGGUAUUCUCUUCCAAGCCCUCUGACUCCUCUCUAACCCUGACUCCCAAGCCUAUCACCCUCACUCAGCAGUGACCGACAUUCACCUUUGUGUCAUGCACUUGGGUCCACUGGCAGACUGUUGUGAUAGACAGCGUAUUGAACCCACAUAAUCCAUAGGUUCCUUAUGUUUAUUCUUCUCACUAAACUUUUUAAAACUUU